rnacentral:rRNA from 1 species
AACGCUAGCUACAGGCUUAACACAUGCAAGUCGAGGGGCAGCAUGAACUUAGCUUGCUAAGUUUGAUGGCGACCGGCGCACGGGUGAGUAACACGUAUCCAACCUGCCGAUGACUCGGGGAUAGCCUUUCGAAAGAAAGAUUAAUACCCGAUGGCAUAGUUCUUCCGCAUGGUAGAACUAUUAAAGAAUUUCGGUCAUCGAUGGGGAUGCGUUCCAUUAGGUUGUUGGCGGGGUAACGGCCCACCAAGCCUUCGAUGGAUAGGGGUUCUGAGAGGAAGGUCCCCCACAUUGGAACUGAGACACGGUCCAAACUCCUACGGGAGGCAGCAGUGAGGAAUAUUGGUCAAUGGACGAGAGUCUGAACCAGCCAAGUAGCGUGAAGGAUGACUGCCCUAUGGGUUGUAAACUUCUUUUAUACGGGAAUAAAGUGAGGCACGUGUGCCUUUUUGUAUGUACCGUAUGAAUAAGGAUCGGCUAACUCCGUGCCAGCAGCCGCGGUAAUACGGAGGAUCCGAGCGUUAUCCGGAUUUAUUGGGUUUAAAGGGAGCGUAGGCGGACGCUUAAGUCAGUUGUGAAAGUUUGCGGCUCAACCGUAAAAUUGCAGUUGAUACCGGGUGUCUUGAGUACAGUAGAGGCAGGCGGAAUUCGUGGUGUAGCGGUGAAAUGCUUAGAUAUCACGAAGAACUCCGAUUG